rnacentral:ncRNA from 2 species
CUCGGAGGCUCGGGGUGCCGUCGUCGGCUGAGAGGGAGCAUUCGCUUCCAACCCGUUGAACCUGAUGUGGUCAAACCCACCGUAGGAAAGCUUUGCUGUUGCUGC